rnacentral:rRNA from 1 species
GCGAGCUCCUGGGCAGCAGUCGCGGUAAGACGGAGGGUGCGAACGGUGGUGUGAAUCAGUGGGCGUAAAGCGCACGGAGGCGGCGCGUUAAGUCGGAUGUUAAAGCCCCGGGCUCAACUCGGGAAGUGCAUGCGAAACUGUCGAGCUUGAAUAUGGAAGAGGGUCGCGGAAGUCCCGGUGUAGAGGUGAAAUUCGUAGAUAUCGGGAGGAACACCAGUGGCGAAGGCGGCGACCUGGGCCAAUAUUGACGCUGAGGUGCGAAAGCGUGGGGAGCAAACAGGAUUAGAUACCCUAGUAGUC